rnacentral:rRNA from 1 species
GUCUACGGCCACGCCACCCUGAACGUGCCCGAUCCCAUCUGAUCUCAGAAGCUAAGCAGAGUGGGGCCUGAUUAGUACUUGGGUGGGAGACCACCUAGGAAGACCAGGUGCUGUAGGCG